rnacentral:siRNA from 1 species
CGAAUUUUUCAAAUGCUGCUC